rnacentral:lncRNA from 13 species
AUGUCCCCAGUGUCCUCGGGAGGUGUGGCAUCGCCUGGAAAAAACACCGAGAAGGUAGCAAGCUGUGGGGGUUCGCGAGGAGCAUCCGCAAAGCCCCGGCUCCUCCGGGCACCCCGUUUCCCCGGCCGCGAGCUGUUCGCCCGCUGCCCGCCCAACCUGCACUGCAACACGAGAGAGAGGAGGGCGAGAGCGCCAGCGCCGAGGCGGAAAAAACCAGAGCCCCGUGUCCCUGCGCUCUGCUCAGCCCAGCGGGGCCGGCUGCCCGCCGAGCCCGUGCCAGCCGGAGGAGCGGGGGGGGAACGACGCAGCCCCCCCGGCAGCCGAGGCUCUGCAAAGCCACCGAGGGUUCCCAGCACCGCCAGCACCGGGAGUCGGUGUCACCCACCGGGCACGGCACCCGCGGCCGUUCCGCGGCGUUCCCCGGUGAUCCGGGAGGCUCCGGCUUCAUCCCCUAGACCGAACCCCCCGCCGGCCCCUCUCUGUCCCCCCGCCGAUGGCUCCAAGGACCCACGAGCACCGGGGCCCCGGCCGCGGGACCCACGCGACCUGCAUCCGCCCUCCCCAUCCUCCCGAGAGCCAACCCCCCGGCCGACCCACCCCCGUGGGGAUUCGGCUCCGCUGGGUGAAAUUUCUCGUGGGGAUGUUGAGGUUCAUGUUCCCGGUGGGUGCCGGGUUCUCAGCAUCCCUGCUCCCGACGAGCGCUCCCUCGGAUCAUCCUGCAUUGCCUCGCACCGUGGAGAUGCUCAGCCCGGAGAGGGCCAACCAACCUCUCAUUUUUUGCUUUUUUUUUUUUUUUUUUUUUUUUCCCUCCCAAACGAAAUAAAAACCCCUCUAACCUCCCUUCUUCAGCUCCAACUCGACUUGUCUACUUUGAGCCAGGAUUACAGAACCGGGCAGGGGAGGCAGGUGGAAAAUAACCCCGCGGUCCCAAUCUCCUCGGCAAAGAUUUCAGCCAUCUCCAGGCCAUUUAUGCCUGUUGGUUCCUCUCUUCAUCUCCCGAGGUGCUGA